GUCUUUUUGAUAUUUWUUUAAAGUCGGGCCUGCCCAAUGAUUUUUAUUUAAUGGCUGCAGUAUUUUAACUGUACGAAGGUAGCAUAAUCAUUUGUCUAAUAAUUUUAGACUAGUAUGAAAGGUUUAAUAAGAAUUAAACUUUCUUAUUUAUAUAAAUAAGAAUUUAUUUUUUUAGUGAAAAAACUGAAAUUUUUUUAUAGGACGAGAAGACCCUAUAGAACUUUAUAAAUACAUAUAUAUAUAUAUAUAUGUAUUUAUUAUAUUGGGGUGAUAUAAAUUUUUAAUUAACAAUUUUUUAUUUUAUCUAUAAUUUUUGAUUUUUAUGAUCCAAUAUUUUUGAUUAUAAGAUUAAGUUACCUUAGGGAUAACAGCGUAGUUUAA
rnacentral:rRNA from 1 species